rfam:Ailuropoda melanoleuca scaffold1494_50, whole genome shotgun sequence.
GCCUGGCUGGCUCAGUCAGUGAAGCGUGCGACUCUUGAUCUCGGGAUUGUGGGUUCGAGCCCCAUGUUGGGUG